UCUCUUUAUGAUUAUAAUAAUAAGUUGAUUCUGCCCAAUGAAUUUUAAAUGGCUGCAGUAUUUUAACUGUACAAAGGUAGCAUAAUAAAUUGUUUUUUAAAUGAAAACUGGAAUAAAAGAGGUGAUGAAAUAUAAACUUUAUUUAAUUUAAUUAUUAAAUUUAAUAUUAAUGUAAAAAAGCUUUAAUAUAUUUAAGGGACGAGAAGACCCUAUAGAAUUUUAUAAAAAUUUUAAUAUUUAUAUAUUAAAAUUUUUAUUGAUCUGGGAGGGAGAUUAAAUUAAUAAACUUUAAUUAAUUAAAUAACAAAAAUAUUUGAAAUUAAUAUUGAUUUUUAUUUUAUUAAAUUAUAAGAUUAAAUUACCUUAGGGAUAACAGUGUAAUAUUUUUUUAAAGUUCUUAUUGAAAAAAAUGUUU
rnacentral:rRNA from 1 species